rnacentral:hammerhead_ribozyme from 1 species
CACUGGUUGAGAGCUGGGAUCGCUCUUAUGAUGAGUCAAAGACAGGACGAAACCAGUG